rnacentral:rRNA from 1 species
GAUGAACGCUAGCGAUAGGCUUAACACAUGCAAGUCGAGGGGCAGCAUGAAAGUAGCUUGCUACUUUUGAUGGCGACCGGCGCACGGGUGCGUAACACGUAUGCAACUUACCCAUAAAACAGGGAUAACCCGGAGAAAUUCGGACUAAUACUUGAUGGUAUUGAGAGAAGGCAUCUUCACUUAAUUAAAGAUUUAUCGAUAAUGGAUAGGCAUGCGCAUGAUUAGCUAGUUGGUGAGGUAACGGCUCACCAAGGCGACGAUCAUUAGGGGUUCUGAGAGGAAGGUCCCCCACACUGGUACUGAGACACGGACCAGACUCCUACGGGAGGCAGCAGUGAGGAAUAUUGGUCAAUGGACGCGAGUCUGAACCAGCCAAGUCGCGUGAAGGAUGACGGCUCUAUGAGUUGUAAACUGCUUUUGUAUGAGGGUAAAAUUGGGUACGUGUACCUAACUGAAAGUAUCAUACGAAUAAGGAUCGGCUAACUCCGUGCCAGCCGCCGCAGUAACAC